AAGAGUAUAAUGUGCUAGUUAAGAAUAUGGACUUCAUUUUCACACUGUCUGGGUUCAGAUCUCUUCCUGGCUGUGGCAAGCACUUCACCUCUGAGUCUUAGUUUCCUCACUUGCCAACAGGAGUAAUUGUUCCUACCGCGUGGGUGCUGAUUGAAUGAAAGGAUGCAGGUGAAUUACUUAGCACAGAAUUGGACAUCACGUAAACAGUUGCUACAUGUUAGCUGUUAGUAUUAGACCACUGGGCUCUGAUUUCUAACACAGGAAGAAAUAGCCUGACCUUCACCCCACUCAUCCCUGUAGGACAGAGGCUGGCCUGGUGGGGGCACUCAGAAGGGGUAUCCACAGUUCAUUUUGGGACUACAGGAAAGAUCCAAUCUUUUCACUCUCUUCCCUUCAGGCUCCCCCCAGCCCCAUCCUAGUCCACACCCCUAAAGGGAUUCCCAGAAUUUCGGAACCCUGAUCAACAUAAACCCUGGGCCCCUCAGGCAGGUGCCAGCCAGGAGUAGUGGAUUUACAAGGUAAGGACGUAUAAGAUGUGACAGGCCUGGAAUUAGCAAUGCAAUUCCUCUGUCAUUUUUAUCAUUGGCCCCUGCAGGGAGGAGCUGAUUAAAUGGAUAUUCAACUCUUUGCAUUAAUGUGCAUCCAGCUUCAAUUUGCAUUUCAUUAGCCGCACAAAAAGCAUAAUUUUAUUAUUUGCCGUUGGAAAGCAGAUCUCUGCUAACAAGCAGCUACACGCUGUUCCUGAAAUAUGGUGUGACUGACUCGCUCCGCUGUCUAGCUCACCCUGCUAUCUUCUUCCCCCUCUGCAGACUUCCGGCGCUCUGGUGAAGGUGGUACAUGGCAGAUUUGGCUUUAUCAUGGCGGGCUGUGUUCUCAUUCCAGCCCUGGUCCCGCAGAGGGCUCUGUAUUUCUCAGGUACCUGGGGAGGCAGGAUUGACAGCUGCCAUCUUCCUGGUCAGUCAUUGUCAUCACCACUAGUAACAUUAACACUAUCAAAACAGUGUUUCCACCCUCAUAAUACCACCUUCACCAUACUCACAUUGCAAUUAUUAUCAUUAUUAUUACGUCAGUAUCGUCAUCACCUCCACCAUCACCAUCAUUAUCAUUUCCAUUACCACCACCCUUCUCACCUCCCUCAUCAUCACCUCCACUACUUCUAUCACGCUGAUACAUCCACAACCAAUAUUAACACAUCACCAUCAUCACCUCCACCGUCACCACUCUAAUCACCUCCACCAUCACUCUGACCAUCACUAUCACCAAUUCCACCCCCACUGCCAUCAUAUCUAUUACCAUGAUCACUUCUAUCACCUCCACUGUGCUAAUAAUAUCUUGCCCACAGCUGUUAUCACCAUCACCAUCAUCACCUCCACUGCUACUUCCACCACCACCACUAUCAUCACCUCUACCACCACUACCACCACAGUCUCCACUACCAUGACUAACUCCACUCAGCCAAACUAACACCAUCUUCACCACCAUCACCCUCCUCCCACUACCUCCACAUCCCAGUACUUUCACUGGUACCUCCACACUAAUCUAAUCACUGUCUCUCUCAACACCCUCAGAACUAUCACUGCCACCCUCACUACCACUAUGAUCACCACCCUCUCUGCCACCAACACCACUGUCUCCACAUCUUCCAUGUCAGUGAGGACCUUGACCAUCACAGCAUCCACACUGUGUCUUUGACAUUACUUUUAAAAAUCUGAAAGCACCAGCAUUGAAAAUUUUCAUUGCUGUCAGAGUCCAUGGAUCUGUGGUCCCUAUAUGGGAGUGUUGCAAUAAGCAGAGUGACUGGAGCCCUUGAGGGGAGCAGGGUCCAGGUGACCAGUGCCAAGGGAUCUGGAGAGUGAAGCAGAGGGACAGUACAGUAAAACCACUGGUGGGAGCAUGAAUUUGGAGGCAGAUGGAAUUGAUCUCUGAUGCACCAUGGGACCUUGAAUGAGCCACUUUUCUGAGCCCUAGUUUCCUAUCAGUCAAGUGGGACUAAUAAUACCCCUUCAUUGAGUUGAAUAUUAAUUAAAUGACAACAUGUGUUCUGAGGAUCUGCAGAGUGAAAGCUGCCAGUUCUCUGCCGUGAUGCCCUCAGAUCCUCUUGGAUGUCCUUUAUGAGCUCCAUGCAUCCCUGCCCCAGCGCUUGCAUGCUUCUCUCCUAACAGCUUGCAGUUGCAACCUUCUUGAGACACCUGCAGGCUAUUGCAGUUGCUUUGCUCAAAGGUACUGAGAACCAGAAGUGUCCCAGAAAGGCCUGCAGACAAUGAUCAGGAGGCCGGAGUAUGAAAGCCCAGCUCUUUUCCUUCAAGGCGGGCAAACUCAGAGAUGGAAUUUACACUGUAGAGCUCCCUGCAGGAUCAGGCCUUGGUGGGGACUUCACCUGUAAUUGUAUCAUUGCGUGGCUUCUUCCCUUCCCUGUCUUGUUUUCCCCACUCCCUUUCUGGGUUCUCCCAGGAGCAAUUUCAUAAUGCUUGCAUGUGAAUUUUCAUGUCAGGUCUGCCUGUGACAUGACGCAUAGCAGGAUUUCAAUUCACCAUGGUUCCCUCCUCCUCUUCUCAUGUUCAUCAAGUACAUUAGCCAAUAGAGGGCUGUCACACAUAUUGUUCAUUGGAAGUGUAAGCUAACCCUGGCAGUUUCUUAGAGUGGGAAUUAUUACGCCCAUUCUGCAGGUGCACAACUGAGACCCAUGUGAAAGAUCACGGAGUUAGUAGGUGGAAAAGGUGAGGUGUAAAUCAUGUCUUCUGUAUUCAAGUCCAGCCUUCUUCCUGCAGUACCAGCCUGCAGAAUUCUCUGAGCUCAGGGCUGGCUUAAGCCUGGGCCGGCAUGUAUAGAUGAGAUAUGAUUCUGGAUCAGUUGCCAGGCAGAGAGCUCAGACUCCAAUCUUCUUUCUCCCUUGCCUUGAGCACCACCUUCCCACCCCUGUACCUAGAGCACAGCUGAAUCAUACCACAAUGGGAUCAUCUGGAAAAAACAAUGACGUGACUGGUUUAAAAGGAAGACCAUGCAGUGAAGGAGACCCUGUCCCCUGCUCACAUGCUGUGUGACCUUGGGCAAAUUGUGAAAUCUCUCUGAGCCCUGGUUUCCUUAUUUAGUCUUUCCAGCCACCAGGUGGGGCACGGGCUGUUAUCCUCCUAAUUUUAGAGCUGGCUGAGAGCAGUAAUAGAUGUUCCGGGAAGGGGAGGCUCAAGCAGAACAGAGAACAAAUGCUCUUGUCCUCUUCUCCCAGUGCAAGAAUCCCCUGAGCUGCAUUUCUGACAAUGUACAUCUGGCUAUGCCAGCGACCUUGCGCUCUUGCAGAGGCCCUUUCUGGCUCAGGCUACCAGCAUUCUUCCCAGAGAGCCCACUGGCCUUCCACUGGGUCUGGUGGGAUUCCUGGAGGUUGUUCAGAUGACCAUGCCUUUCAGGGAUUUGAGGACAGCUUCCUGUGCCCUGAAGUCUGUUCUUUCUUAGCCCCAAUAAGGGAGCAUAAAGUAGCUGCUUACACAUUCCUUUCAUCCCCAGAUCAUUCUCCUCUGGGUCUCUGCUCACAGACCUUCCAUCAAGAAAUUCACUACAGUGUGUUGGAACAGUCUAUGUACCUGACUACCACACAAGGGCUGUUGUAAGGAUCAAAUGGCAUCAUGAAUGGAGGGUACCAAGUCCUGCACCCAGCCUGCAGUGACUAGCACCUGCUCCCUGCUGAACAUGGUGGCUGGGGCUGGACAUGGUCCUUGGGGGUGUGAUCUGAGCAGCCUGCAGCAUUCUGGGCCUUUCAACUGCCGCAUCCUGGUACCAGUCUCAUGCUUCCUGGUACCCUACAGAUGGCUGUCUCCUGGUGGAGUCACCAGGUUGGAGGGGUCCUCAGAAUGCCAACAGAACAGAGCAGCCCUGAGCUCCGGCACCUGUCACUGUGGCUUGACUGGAUACAUAUCUCCAGACCAAGGCAAGCAUCUCUGGCAGAACCCACUGUGGAGAUCCUAAAUUGGCACCCCGUAGAGUGAGCUGUCUGAUUCUACAAAGGCAGUAUUUCUAGGUUUCAAAGGAACUGAAUAAUUUAAAAUGCACAAGACAAAAAGUGGGAUUAAGGUGAUCUGAUAGGCUCUCCAGGCUGGGGUAUCAAUUAUACUCUCAACUCGUAAAGCCUUAUUUGUGAGAUUCAGAAUUUAUUAUCUGUCUGAAGCACUAAUUACCAGGUUUCUCUCUUUUAAUUUUACAGGUCUCUUCUCAGAUUUAUUUUUCUCUUUUUUCCCUCCCACUGGGGACAAAUAGCUUCCAUUCCUGAAGGGAAGUUGCCUGCUUGGAGAUGGACAGAGGAAGAUAUUUGGGUUCAGCUUAUCCCCUCUGGGCACUUUGGGGGAAGCAGCAUGGGUUGGGGCAGGAGAACUCUAAUGUGUAUGUGUUAAUAAACUUACUGUUUUCUAAAA